rnacentral:rRNA from 1 species
AGACGGUUUNGCUGUCACUNAUAGAUGGAUCCGCGCNGCAUUAGNUAGUUGGUAAGGUAACGGUUUACCAAGGCGACGAUGGGUAGCCGACCUGAGAGGGUGAUCGGCCACACUGGAACUGAGACACGGUCCAGACUCCUACGGGAGGCAGCAGUAGGGAAUCUUCCGCAAUGGGCGAAAGCCUGACGGAGCAACGCCGCGUGAGUGAUGAAGGUCUUCGGAUCGUAAAACUCUGUUAUUAGGGAAGAACAAAUGUGUAAGUAACUAUGCACUCUUGACGGUACCUAAUCAGAAAGCCAC